rnacentral:rRNA from 1 species
UACGAAGGGGGCUAGCGUUGUUCGGAAUUACUGGGCGUAAAGCGUGCGCAGGCGGCUUUGCAAGACAGAUGUGAAAUCCCCGGGCUCAACCUGGGAACUGCAUUUGUGACUGCAUCGCUGGAGUGCGGCAGAGGGGGAUGGAAUUCCGCGUGUAGCAGUGAAAUGCGUAGAUAUGCGGAGGAACACCGAUGGCGAAGGCAAUCCCCUGGGCCUGCACUGACGCUCAUGCACGAAAGCGUGGGGAGCAAACAGG